CGUCUCCUGCAGUGUUCGAUACUGGCCAGGAUACUUUCGACCCUAAAUCUUUACCUCGGGGUCGUGUUCUGUCGGCCACUUGUGUGCAGUGCCACUGAGGUGGUGUGCCUGUUGUGGUCACGGCUGACCCCACCUGUUGCUCCGGUUCGAGAGCGACGGCCGGUAACGGCACCCGCGGGAGACGC
rnacentral:other from 1 species